rnacentral:rRNA from 1 species
UACGGGGGGGGCAAGCGUUGUUCGGAAUUACUGGGCGUAAAGGGCCAGUAGGCGGCCAACUAAGUCGGAUGUGAAAUCCCCAGGCUUAACCUGGGAACUGCAUCCGAUACUGGAUGGCUUGAAUUCGGGAGAGGGAUGCGGAAUUCCAGGUGUAGCGGUGAAAUGCGUAGAUAUCUGGAGGAACACCGGUGGCGAAGGCGGCAUCCUGGACCGGCAUUGACGCUGAGGAGCGAAAGCCAGGGGAGCAAACGGG